rnacentral:rRNA from 1 species
AGUGAACGCUGGCGGUAGGCCUAACACAUGCAAGUCCAACGGCAGCACAGUAAGAGCUUGCUCUUACGGGUGGCGAGUGGCGGACGGGUGAGGAAUACAUCGGAAUCUACUUUUUCGUGGGGGAUAACGUAGGGAAACUUACGCUAAUACCGCAUACGACCUACGGGUGAAAGCAGGGGAUCUUCGGACCUUGCGCGAUUGAAUGAGCCGAUGUCGGAUUAGCUAGUUGGCGGGGUAAAGGCCACCAAGGCGACGAUCCGUAGCUGGUCUGAGAGGAUGAUCAGCCACACUGGAACUGAGACACGGUCCAGACUCCUACGGGAGGCAGCAGUGGGGAAUAUUGGACAAUGGGCGCAAGCCUGAUCCAGCCAUACCGCGUGGGUGAAGAAGGCCUUCGGGUUGUAAAGCCCUUUUGUUGGGAAAGAAAAGCAGCAGGUUAAUACCCCGCUGUUCUGACGGUACCCAAAGAAUAAGCACCGGCUAACUUCGUG